CACGUAGGGAGCGAGCGUUGUCCGGAAUCAUUGGGCGUAAAGAGCAUGUAGGUGGAUCAAUUAGUCUGCUGUGAAAGUCAAAGGCUCAACCUUUGAAAGCCGGUGGAUACUGUUGAUCUAGAGUACGGAAGAGGCGAGUGGAAUUCCUGGUGUAGCGGUGGAAUGCGCAGAUAUCAGGAGGAACACCAAUAGCGAAGGCAGCUCGCUGGGACGUUACUGACACUGAGAUGCGAAAGCGUGGGGAGCAAACAGG
rnacentral:rRNA from 1 species